GACGAACGCUGGCGGCGUGCCUAAUACAUGCAAGUCGAACGCAGUGGGGACGGGUGAGUAACACGUGGGUAACCUCCCAUCAGAGGGGAUAACACUUGGAAACAGGUGCUAAACCGAUACUGAUGGAUGGACCAGCGGUGCAUUAGCUAGUUGGUGAGGUAACGGCGCACCAAGGCAGUGAGGCAUAGCCGACCUGAAAGGGUGAUAAGCCACACUGUGACUGAGACACGGCCCAGCCUCCUACGGGAGGCAGCAGUAGGGAAUCUUAGGCAAUGGACGAAAGUCUGACCGAGCAACGCAGCGUGAGUGAAGAAGGUUUUCGUAGCGUAAAACUCUGUUGUUAGAGAAGCGGUAUCUAACCAGAAAGCCACGGCUAACUACGUGCCAGCAGCCGCGGUAAUUC
rnacentral:rRNA from 1 species